rnacentral:lncRNA from 1 species
CUGAGAGAUGCUAGAAGGUUAAAUAGUCGGAGUAACAGACUGUGAAGUUCUCAGGCUACUACAGACAAGAGGAAUCUGCUGAUUUCAGGAGGUUGCAGCUGUGUUUUCGCUUGUGUGUGAUGGAAGAAUCUGCCAUUGUAGGGAUGUGGGAAACUAAAAUUCACCACGGACAGUUUAUGGUCUUAUCCCUCUUUGUGCAUGUAGGAUCAAGGCAUUAAUAAGGAUCUCAGAAGGAAUGUCAAGAGAUCACAGACUCAUGUCCUGUUUGUUACUGGUUGGCUUUAUUGAUUUUUUAUUUUUUAUUUUUUAAGAUUUCACCUGUUUGUUCAUGAGAGACACACAGAGAGAGAGGCAGAGACACAGGCAGAGGGAGGAGCAGGCUCCCUGCAGGGACGCGGGACUCCAUCCUGGAUCUCGGGAUCAUGCCCUGGGCUGAAGGCAGACGCUCAACCGCUGAGCCACCCUGGCGUCCCACCCUGGUUGACUUUAGACUCCCACGUGGGUACCUGUUUUUUCCAGGAAGAAAUCCUUAGAAUCACGAGAGGAAGAGUGCAGAGGGGAUAGCGAGCCCGGCCUCUUACCUUCACAGGUGACAUCUGAGGUCCCGAGGCAGGAGAUGGUUCCGGCGGCUCAGGACCCCCGUCGGAGGACAAGCGUUAGGUGGUCAUGAGACUUAAAUGGGGAGCGGGGGAUGGAGUUUAAGUGAAACAUUUGCACACUAAACAAACACACCCCGGUAAAACAGGUGGAAAGUUCCUUUUGCACAUGUGCAGGGUCUCCAGGGUGGGCUGCUUCUGAGUGUUUCUUUGCAAACGCUGAGAAACGAGGACUCGGGGAGGAGGCAGGUCACUGGGGGUCCAGCUGCAUGAGGGUGAGGCAUCUGCUGAGGGGAAUCGGCGCCUGCGGACACCGGCCCCAAGUGGCGGCAAGCGAGCUGCUCCCAGGGCUCAUCCCACUAGGGAAGUUUUCUGAGAAGCUGGAAGCACAAGACAAAUCUUACAACCUCAAGGCAGUAAAGACCCGGGACAGGUGAAGGUUUGUUCACAGCCUCAGAAACAGGAGCUGGAAAAAAAAAAAAAAAAAGAAGAAGCGGGAGCUGAGACCUGCUAGAAGUGACGUCCCCGCACUCACGGGCUGUCCCCCGGCUGUCGGCUCUGGUCGUGGUGCCCGAGUGCGGGUUUGCGGGCGGAACGGCCGGACUGGGGGUCGCGCCUCGUUCGUGCACGGCCUCGGAGCCCUUCCCUGCCUCCCCACACUGGCCUCG